GCCACCAUGGCUCAGUUGGUUAUCCAGCUGCAGUGUUACACCAACGGGCAAGGGCUGGACCUUUGGAUGUGGUCGAGGGUUCGAUCCCCUCUGGUGGCA